UAAUAGACUAUAAAAAACCCCCACCUUACUGUGAGUCUUACGGGUGUUUUCUUUCACAGAAGCAAAGGGCUAAUCAGGAGAGGAAACAGCAGCUCAUUACCCCACCCACCUCUGAAGCCUCUGCUAAAGCCAUUUAUCAUAACGUUUCUCAACUUUCUUGGGUUGGCAACUUUACAGGAGGACUCCUUUUUGCAACCUUCUUACAGCAUCUACAAAAAAUAAUGGUAAAAUAACCCCAAAGUAACAAUACUUGUCUUUAAGCACAGCGCUGGCUAGGUAUGGUACGGAUACGAGGGAGUUCCCCGGACAGCUAGGCUCUUACAUCUAGUUGUGGGACUGAAAAAGACCAACUUUGACCAGAAGUGUUCUGGAGAGUAUUUCAGAUACGGGAACUGAAGAUGGGAAGGUGGCAGCCUUGGUGGGACCAGCUCCAGCACCAGAGCCCUCUUACACUUCUUACUGAAAUCAGAAGGAAAAUGGAGGGUUGAAUUUUGAAGGAUCAACAUCUUAAGGGGACACAGUAGUAGUGUUCUCAGGUUGAUGUGAUAUUGUAGUGCUUAAUAUUUAUCAUUAAAAUGAAAGCCUGGAGAA